UACGUAGGGGACAAGCGUUGUCCGGAAUCAUUGGGCGUAAAGAGCGUGUAGGCGGUCCGGUCAGUCGGUUGUGAAAGUCAAGGGCUCAACCCUUGAAUGCCGGCCGAUACUGCCGGGCUAGAGUCCGGAAGAGGUGAGUGGAAUUCCUGGUGUAGCGGUGAAGUGCGCAGAUAUCAGGAGGAACACCGAUGGCGAAGGCAGCUCACUGGGACGGUACUGACGCUGAGACGCGAAAGCGUGGGGAGCGAACAGG
rnacentral:rRNA from 1 species